rnacentral:rRNA from 1 species
GACGAACGCUGGCGGCGUGCCUAAUACAUGCAAGUAGAACGCUGAAGAGAGGAGCUUGCUCUUCUUGGAUGAGUUGCGAACGGGUGAGUAACGCGUAGGUAACCUGCCUUGUAGCGGGGGAUAACUAUUGGAAACGAUAGCUAAUACCGCAUAACAAUGGAUGACACAUGUCAUUUAUUUGAAAGGGGCAAUUGCUCCACUACAAGAUGGACCUGCGUUGUAUUAGCUAGUAGGUGAGGUAACGGCUCACCUAGGCGACGAUACAUAGCCGACCUGAGAGGGUGAUCGGCCACGCUGGGACUGAGACACGGCCCAGACUCCUACGGGAGGCAGCAGUAGGGAAUCUUCGGCAAUGGGGGCAACCCUGACCGAGCAACGCCGCGUGAGUGAAGAAGGUUUUCGGAUCGUAAAGCUCUGUUGUAAGUCAAGAACGAGUGUGAGAGUGGAAAAUUCACACUGUGACGGUAGCUUACCAGAAAGGGACGGCUAACUACGUGCCAGCAGCCGCGGUAAUACGUAGGUCCCGAGCGUUGUCCGGAUUUAUUGGGCGUAAAGCGAGCGCAGGCGGUUUGAUAAGUCUGAAGUUAAAGGCUGUGGCUCAACCAUAGUUCGCUUUGGAAACUGUCAAACUUGAGUGCAGAAGGGGAGAGUGGAAUUCCAUGUGUAGCGGUGAAAUGCGUAGAUAUAUGGAGGAACACCGGUGGCGAAAGCGGCUCUCUGGUCUGUAACUGACGCUGAGGCUCGAAAGCGUGGGGAGUGAACAGGAUUAGAUACCCUGGUAGUCCACGCCGUAAACGAUGAGUGCUAGGUGUUGGAUCCUUUCCGGGAUUCAGUGCCGCAGCUAACGCAUUAAGCACUCCGCCUGGGGAGUACGACCGCAAGGUUGAAACUCAAAGGAAUUGACGGGGGCCCGCACAAGCGGUGGAGCAUGUGGUUUAAUUCGAAGCAACGCGAAGAACCUUACCAGGUCUUGACAUCCCGAUGCUAUUUCUAGAGAUAGAAAGUUACUUCGGUACAUCGGUGACAGGUGGUGCAUGGUUGUCGUCAGCUCGUGUCGUGAGAUGUUGGGUUAAGUCCCGCAACGAGCGCAACCCCUAUUGUUAGUUGCCAUCAUUCAGUUGGGCACUCUAGCGAGACUGCCGGUAAUAAACCGGAGGAAGGUGGGGAUGACGUCAAAUCAUCAUGCCCCUUAUGACCUGGGCUACACACGUGCUACAAUGGUUGGUACAACGAGUUGCGAGUCGGUGACGGCAAGCUAAUCUCUUAAAGCCAAUCUCAGUUCGGAUUGUAGGCUGCAACUCGCCUACAUGAAGUCGGAAUCGCUAGUAAUCGCGGAUCAGCACGCCGCGGUGAACACGUUCCCGGGCCU